rnacentral:rRNA from 1 species
GACAGAGGUGCCGAGCGUUAGGCGGAAUCACUGGGCUUAAAGCGUGUGUAGGCGGGUCGUUAAGUGUCUUGUGAAAUCCCACCGCUCAACGGUGGAACUGCUGGGCAUACUGGCGAUCUUGAGCCACCUAGGGGCAGACGGAACAAGCGGUGGAGCGGUGAAAUGCGUAGAUAUCGCUUGGAACGCCGACGGUGAAAACAGUCUGCUGGGGGUGUGCUGACGCUGGAGACACGAACGAGCCAGGGAGCGGAACGGG